UCAUAUCAAUAAGCGGAGGAAAAGAAACCAACAGGGAUUACCUCAGUAACGGCGAGUGAAGCGGUAACAGCUCAAAUUUGAAAUCUGGCUCUUUUAGGGUCCGAGUUGUAAUUUGUAGAAGAUGCUUUGGGCGUGGCUCCGGUCUAAGUUCCUUGGAACAGGACGUCAUAGAGGGUGAGAAUCCCGUAUGUGACUGGUAGCUUUCGCCCGUGUAAAGCUCUUUCGACGAGUCGAGUUGUUUGGGAAUGCAGCUCAAAAUGGGUGGUAAAUUUCAUCUAAAGCUAAAUAUUGGCCAGAGACCGAUAGCGCACAAGUAGAGUGAUCGAAAGAUGAAAAGCACUUUGGAAAGAGAGUUAAACAGUACGUGAAAUUGUUGAAAGGGAAGCGCUUGCAACCAGACUCGCAGGCCGUCGAUCAUCCGGGGUUCUCCCCGGUGCACUCGGCGGUUUUCGGGCCAGCAUCGGUUUGGGUGGUGGGAUAAAGGCCUUGGGAAUGUAGCUUCUUUCGGGGAGUGUUAUAGCCCUCGGUGCAAUGCCGCCUACCCGGACCGAGGACCGCGCUUCGGCUAGGAUGCUGGCGUAAUGGUUGUAAGCGACCCGUCUUGAAACACGGACCAAGGAGUCUAACAUCUAUGCGAGUAUUUGGGUGUUAAACCCAUAUGCGUAAUGAAAGUGAACGGAGGUGAGAACCCUUAAGGGUGCAUCAUCGACCGAUCCUGAUGUCUUCGGAUGGAUUUGAGUAAGAGCAUAGCUGUUGGGACCCGAAAGAUGGUGAACUAUGCCUAAAUAGGGUGAAGCCAGAGGAAACUCUGGUGGAGGCUCGCAGCGGUUCUGACGUGCAAAUCGAUCGUCAAAUUUGGGUAUAGGGGCGAAAGACUAAUCGAACCAUCUAGUAGCUGGUUCCUGCCGAAGUUUCCCUCA
rnacentral:rRNA from 1 species